rnacentral:lncRNA from 1 species
GGCAGCGGCCGUUACACCGCGGCGCGCCCCAAGCACGCAUGCACACUGCUUCACCCCCCCCUUGUCCUUUACCCCGCGGGCCGCCAUUCGCUGGGCGCCCAGCCCGCCUCCCCGGCCUCUCACUGCCGGCCCUGCGCAUGUGUUGUAGGAGGGGGAGCGUUACCUAUACAAAUAACACAUUUUAAGAAGUCAAGCCCCAAGGAACUGUUAGGUGGAAAUAUAACCCAGAGAUUAACAUUUAUCAUGCUGAGAUUCGGGCAGCACAUCAUCAAGCCCUCCGUGGUCUUCCUGAAGACUGAGCUCUCCUUUGCUCUUGUGAACCGCAAGCCGGUGGUCCCAGGCCGUAUCCUUUUGAGCAGUGCCUUGGCCAUGGGUGCCUGUGUUCUGUGGAGACGCUGAGGAAGGUUGGCAUGCUCUGAAGGCCAGGUAGGAUGUUGCGCGGAUUUAUUCUGAAACCAGGCAGUGGAACGUAAUACGCUUGAUUGGUGUUGCAGAACUGCCGAAAAGGGUUGCUUAGCAACUGUGACCUUACAGGUGAAUUUCUAUUGACCUUUUCACCACAGAAAAUGUAUAAACAACAGGUGCUACUAAAAGCAUUUUAAAGUGUAUCUGAGAGGAUACUGUGUAAAUUUCAUAUUAUGCUAAAUAACACAUCCUGCUUCCCUUUUAAUAACGUCACUUAUUUUUAGAUGUGGUAACUUCUUUAUGGAGGAUUUUCAACUUCUUGUAGCUAAAUGUACACAAUUUGUCAAAUGGCAGCAGAAUUCUCUAUGAAGACUAUUAUUUUUUGGGGGGAACAGAUUGCUUUGAUUAAUUUAGGUAGGAAUGGAUUAAAUAAACCAUCUGUAUAGCAAACACUUUCUGAGGAAAAAUGAAUCCCCAUGUUGUAAGCAAAACUUAGUUUUUAGAAAUUUUAAGGAAACUUGAUUGUGCAAGAUGCUAAAUGCAUCUAUUUAGUUUAUUUUAUAAUGUUGUGUAUUAUUUCAUAGUUAGAACUCUGGCGCUAUGUAACUUGUACUGAUUUCAGUGGCUGGAGGUUGAACUUUUCAGAAAUAUUCAAGACUGAUCAUUUUCACAGAGGUUUAUGGUAAAAAUUUUAGUAGGCACUGUUAAGAAAUGGC